rnacentral:rRNA from 1 species
AGGAUUCCCCUAGUAACUGCGAGUGAAGCGGGAAAAGCUCAAAUUUAAAAUCUGGCAGUCUUUGGCUGUCCGAGUUGUAGUCUGGAGAAGUGCUUUCCGCGCUGGACCGUGUAUAAGUCUCUUGGAACAGAGCGUCAUAGAGGGUGAGAAUCCCGUCUUUGACACGGACUACUAGUGCUUUGUGAUGCGCUCUCAAAGAGUCGAGUUGUUUGGGAAUGCAGCUCAAAAUGGGUGGUAAAUUCCAUCUAAAGCUAAAUAUUGGCGAGAGACCGAUAGCGAACAAGUACCGUGAGGGAAAGAUGAAAAGCACUUUGGAAAGAGAGUUAAACAGUACGUGAAAUUGCUGAAAGGGAAACGCUUGAAGUCAGUCGCGUUGUGCAGAACUCAACCUUGCUUUUGCUUGGUGCACUUUCUGCAUGACGGGCCAGCAUCAAUUUUGACUGUUGGACAAGGGUUGGGGGAAUGUGGCACCUUUCGGGGUGUGUUAUAGCCUUCAGCCGCAUGCAACAGUUGGGAUUGAGGAACGCAGCGCGCCGCAAGGCAGGGGUUUACCCACUUUCGCGCUUAGGAUGCUGGCAUAAUGGCUUUAAACGACCCGUCUUGAAACACGGACCAAGGAGUCUAACAUACCUGCGAGUGUUUGGGUGGAAAACCCGAGCGCGUAAUGAAAGUGAAAGUUGGGACCUCUGUCGUGGAGGGCACCGACGCCCGGAGCAGACGUUCUCUGACGCAUCCGCGGUUGAGCAUGUAUGUUGGGACCCGAAAGAUGGUGAACUAUGCCUGAAUAGGGUGAAGCCAGAGGAAACUCUGGUGGAGGCUCGUAGCGAUUCUGACGUGCAAAUCGAUCGUCAAAUUUGGGUAUAGGGGCGAAAGACUAAUCGAACCAUCUAGUAGCUGGUCU